GACGAACGCUGGCGGCGUGCUUAACACAUGCAAGUCGAACGGAAAGGCCCUGCUUUUGUGGGGUGCUCGAGUGGCGAACGGGUGAGUAACACGUGAGUAACCUGCCCUUGACUUUGGGAUAACUUCAGGAAACUGGGGCUAAUACCGGAUAGGAGCUCCUGCUGCAUGGUGGGGGUUGGAAAGUUUCGGCGGUUGGGGAUGGACUCGCGGCUUAUCAGCUUGUUGGUGGGGUAGUGGCUUACCAAGGCUUUGACGGGUAGCCGGCCUGAGAGGGUGACCGGCCAAAUGGGGACGGGGAUACGGCCCAGACCCCUAGGGGGGGCAGGAGGGGGGAAUUUUGCACAAGGGGCGGAAGCCGGAUGCAGAAACGCCGGGGGGGGGAUGACGGCUUUGGGGUGGGAAACCGCUUUCGCCGGUGACGAAGGGUGGGUGACGGUAAUGGGGAAAGAAGCACCGGCUAACUACGU
rnacentral:rRNA from 1 species